rnacentral:rRNA from 1 species
UACAGAGGGUGCAAGCGUUAAUCGGAAUUACUGGGCGUAAAGGGCGCGUAGGUGGUUAUUUAAGUUGUAUGUGAAAACCCUGGGCUUAACCUAGGAAUUGCAUAUAAAACUGAUUAGCUAGAGUGCGGUAGAGGGAAGUGGAAUUUCCGGUGUAGCGGUGAAAUGCGUAGAUAUCGGAAGGAACAUCAGUGGCGAAGGCGACUUCCUGGACCGUUACUGACACUGAGGCACGAAAGCGUGGGGAGCGAACAGG